UACGUAGGGAGCGAGCGUUGUCCGGAUUUAUUGGGCGUAAAGAGCUCGUAGGCGGUUCGGUAAGUCGGGUGUGAAAACCCCAGGCUCAACCUGGGGACGCCACCCGAUACUGCUGUGACUUGAGUCUGGUAGGGGAGCACGGAAUUCCUGGUGUAGCGGUGAAAUGCGUAGAGAUUGGAAAGAACACCAAUGGCGAAAGCACUUUACUGGGCUAUUACUGACACUGAGAGACGAAAGCUAGGGUAGCAAAUGGG
rnacentral:rRNA from 1 species